UCCACGUGGACCGUACGAAAAAUAGCGUCCCCGAUAUACUGCGCAUGCUCGCUCCAAUUAUGCUACCGCUCAUCUGCUAGCUCCUCGAUGAGUUUACGUACGUACGAACGAUGCAUUACAAAAACCGCUGACUGUGGUAUCUGAAGAAGUGAUAAAAAAGUGGUAUACUUCAAGACUGAAGAGAGAGGUCAACUGGCAAAUGGGGCGAACGAAUUCUCAGAAGGAGAUAGGGCCAACGUGUGGUCAACAAGGUACACCGAAUCAAGGGUCAGCUAAACGUCCAUUCAGUUGUGUUGUGGCUGAUGCCGACGAAGUUUCCAGCGUGAAAAGACAGCUCCUGCAGAUGCCUCCUGUAAAAUCUCCGAACGGCGAUGGAUGCGAGCCCGUGGAUGCGGUGGCGGGGACUGCCUCCGCCGAGGCCGCCGCGGGGAUAGCUCCCAAGAAGUUUCGGUUUACUGACAUUGUGGAGAAGAAAUUGAAGGAUGGAAAGUGGACUGAGGCAGAAAUAGAAUGGUUUAUCUCGGAAAUCGUGAAAAAAGACGGAAAAGUGGAAGAGUCGCAAGUCGGGGCUCUCUUGAUGCUAACGUUCAUCAAGGGGUUGGAUGCGGAGGAGACCGGUAUCCUCACCCGGGCGAUGAUGUUGAGCGGGGAUACCCUGAGUUGGCCCAAGGAAUGGGAGGGGAGACUGGUAGACAAGCACUCCACCGGUGGAGUAGGGGAUAAAGUCAGCCUCAUUCUGGCUCCUGCUCUGGCCGCCUGUGGAAUGAAGGUGCCAAUGAUCUCAGGGCGUGGCCUGGGCCAUACCGGGGGUACCUUAGACAAGCUGGAGUCCAUUCCUGGCUACACGGUCCUCCUUCCCUCGGAUAGGAUGCAAAAGAUCAUGGAGGAUGUCGGUUGCUGUAUCUGCGGCCAGACGGCCAAUCUCGUUCCCGCAGACAAGAUUCUGUAUGCCAUCCGAGAUGUCACUGGCACUGUGCCAAGUUUACCUCUUGUCACAGCUUCUAUCAUAUCGAAGAAGGCUGCGGAGAGAGUGAAUGCGCUGGUCCUAGACGUCAAAGUGGGCAACUCUGCGUUCUACUCACAAGACGAAAUGCUAGGAAGACAAAUGGCGACAUCCUUGGUUCGGGCAAGCAGUAUGCUUGGUACUAAGGCUACAGCCCUCAUGACGAGAAUGGACAACCCUAUUGGACGCUGUGUAGGAAACACCCUUGAAGUUGCCGAGUCCAUUCAAUGUCUUCGUGGAAAGGGUCCAAAGGAUCUUCGUACACUUGUGGAGGAACUCGGUGGGUGUCUAAUAGACUCCCUUCAAGGAACCACCAACGGCAAACAACAGAUAGCAAACACCCUGGAUAAUGGAAGAGCUUUGGCCAAGUUCAGGGAUAUGAUCGUAGCGCAGGGGGCGGAUGAACACCUGGCGGACCGGCUCUGUGGACUCCCCAUGGAUGAUAUUGAUGAGGUCUGGCAAGUUCUGAAAAAGGCAGAAAACGAGACCCAACUCCUGGCCGAGAGAACAGGUUAUAUUUCAAGCAUGAAUUCUCUGGAGGUUGCUAAAGUGUGUUUGGUUCUGGGAGCUGGAAGGGCCGUCGCUACGGCAGAUGUCGACCACUCCGUCGGGGUCAAACUACUGGCACAUGUGGGCUCGCAUGUCAAGAAAGGAGAACCUUGGGUCACAGUCUACCACCAGUCUAAUGACUUCAAUGAUGGACUAGCCGACCGACUGCAAGCGACAUUAGAGUACUCAGACUCGCCCGUCUCAGUCCCAGACAUUGUAAUUGGUGUGGUGAAGCCAUCUUGAGUUACUAAAAGCUCUCUUCAAUGAUUUGUACCUCUAACUUUAAAAUGAUUCUCAGAACAAAACUACAUAGUAAUAGCUGGAUUUAUAUAGCUCAGCACUUCUUGCCUGAGGGUACAAAGUGCUGAUAUAAUAUUACCCCGGCUUUAUAGCCGUGGAAAGUGUGUACAGGGUCAUUCUCAAGAAAAUGUGACGAAUCAUGAAAAUUACAUCCCGAUCAGACCAUCUUUUGACCUAUAGCCCUCUAUCUUGCAAGAAUGAACAUGGGUAAAAUAAUGUUGCAAACCAGGUGGGUGUUUCAUAAAGCUGUUUGUAAGAUACGAAUGACUAUGCACGACUUUUGAUCCUGUCUUGUGCUGUGUGAUAUAUCCAGGGCUGUGUAGCUGACUUACCACCUAAGAACAUGUUCCAGUUGUUCAUAAAGUUGUGCGUAACUUUACGAACAGCGUUAUGAAACGCCCACCCGAAUCCAUUUUCAGUGACCUGCAACUCCCACAACUUGAGUGUUGUGGCCCAGUGGUUUAGUCUCUGGACUUUGAAACAGAGGGUCAUAGGUUCAAGGUGCAGCCAUGUCAUAGAUUCCUUCAGCAAAUAAUUCACCCACAUUGUGCUGCACUCGACACAAGUUAGGUGAAUGGGUACCUGACAGGGAUUUAUAACUUGAAAUGCGUUUUAGCUGGUAAAAAGAAUAAGACUGCCAAACUAAAGCUGGAGUAAUAACAACCAAAUCCUUUGGAAGCGCUUAGAGAAGUUAUGAUCACAAUGUGAUAUACCUGCAUUACAUGUAACUGUUCAUUAUGAGUAUUAAUCAGCCAAGAGAUGGUUUGGAAAAUGACUUUUGUGAUAUUUUUCUUAAGAAUGACCCUUCACGCGUGCCAACAUAGGGAUUUCUUGUCCAAAAAAGGCCCAUGGAGGGGAGACGUACACGUACAUCCCUGAAUAUGGCUUAUUUUUCAAAUGAUUUUGUGAAUGCAGAAGAGAAAGCUUAUUUUUCUAUAGUUACAGAAUGCAUUCAUUUAUUUUUUUGAAAGGGUUUGUUUCCUGUGUUAAAAUCGAUGGCAGAAUUGACCUAACACAAGUUUUCACAUGAUACCCAGAGACUUAUGUGGCAAAAACUUGUAUGCAACAAGCUCAGUUUGUCUACAGAUAGGAACACAUCAUUGAUUGAUUAAUUUUCUAUCAAAA
rnacentral:misc_RNA from 1 species